rnacentral:rRNA from 1 species
UAGGGAAUCUUCGGCAAUGGACGAAAGUCUGACCGAGCAACGCCGCGUGAGUGAAGAAGGUUUUCGGAUCGUAAAACUCUGUUGUUAGAGAAGAACAAGGACGUUAGUAACUGAACGUCCCCUGACGGUAUCUAACCAGAAAGCCACGGCUAACUACGUUCCAGCAGCCGCGGUAAUACGAAGGUGGCAAGCGUUGUCCGGAUUUAUUGGGCGUAAAGCGAGCGCAGGCGGUUUCUUAAGUCUGAUGUGAAAGCCCCCGGCUCAACCGGGGAGGGUCAUUGGAAACUGGGAGACUUGAGUGCAGAAGAGGAGAGUGGAAUUCCAUGUGUAGCGGUGACAUGCGUAGAUAUAUGGAGGAACACCAGUGGCGAAGGCGGAUAUCUGGUCUGUAACUGACGCUGAGGCUCGAAAGCGUGGGGAGCAAACAGG